rnacentral:rRNA from 1 species
GACGAUUUCCGGUUGAUCCUGGCGGAGGCUACUGCUAUUGGGAUUCGACUAAGCCAUGCGAGUCAAGGUGUCUUCGGAUGCCGGCGUACGGCUCAGUAACACGUAGGUAACCUACCCUCAGGACUGAGAUAACCCCGGGAAACUGGGGCUAAUAUUAGAUAGAUAAAAGGUACUGGAAUGUUCUUUUAUCCAAAGCUUUUGCGCCUGAGGAUGGGCCUGCGUCCGAUUAGGUUGUUGGUGGGGUAAUGGCCCACCAAGCCUGCGAUCGGUACGGGCAGUGAGAGCUGAAGCCCGGAGUUGGGGACUGAGACAAGGCCCCAGGCCCUACGGGGCGCAGCAGGCGCGAAACCUCUGCAAUGCGGGAAACCGUGACAGGGGGAUCCCAAGUGCUCAUGCAUUGCAUGGGCUGUUCUUUGGUCUAAGUAACCGGAGGAGUAAGGGCUGGGCAAGACCGGUGCCAGCCGCCGCGGUAAUACCGGCAGCUCAAGUGGUAGCCGCGAUUAUUGGGCCUAAAGCGUUCGUAGCCGGAUAAGUAAGUCUUUGGUUAAAUCCUGCAACUCAACUGUGGGAAAUCUAGGGAUACUGCUUGUCUUGAGACCGGGAGAGGUUAGAGGUACUCCUAGGGUAGGGGUGAAAUCCUGUAAUCCUAGGGGGACCACCUGUGGCGAAGGCGUCUAACUGGAACGGGUCUGACGGUGAGGGACGAAACCUAGGGGAACGAGCCGGAUUAGAUACCCGGGUAGUCCUAGGCGUAAAUGAUGCGAGUUAAGUGUGGGGGCAUCUACGAGAUGGCCCUGUGCUGUAGGGUAGCCGUUAAACUCGCCGCCUGGGGAGUACGGUCGCAAGGCUGAAACUUAA